AUUGAACGCUGGCGGCAGGCCUAACACAUGCAAGUCGAACGGUAACAGAAAGCAGCUUGCUGCUUUGCUGACGAGUGGCGGACGGGUGAGUAAUGUCUGGGAAACUGCCUGAUUGAGGGGGAUAACUACUGGAAACGGUAGCUAAUACCGCAUAACGUCGCAAGACCAAAGAGGGGGACCUUCGGGCCUCUUGCCAUCGGAUGUGCCCAGAUGGGAUUAGCUAGUAGGUGGGGUAACGGCUCACCUAGGCGACGAUCCCUAGCUGGUCUGAGAGGAUGACCAGCCACACUGGAACUGAGACACGGUCCAGACUCCUACGGGAGGCAGCAGUGGGGAAUAUUGCACAAUGGGCGCAAGCCUGAUGCAGCCAUGCCGCGUGUAUGAAGAAGGCCUUCGGGUUGUAAAGUACUUUCAGCGGGGAGGAAGGGAGUAAAGUUAAUACCUUUGCUCAUUGACGUUACCCGCAGAAGAAGCACCGGCUAACUCCGUG
rnacentral:rRNA from 1 species